AUUUAUAUAGUAUAAAAAUUACAUUUGAUUUCCAAUCAAAAAAUCUAAAUUAUUAGUAUAAAUA
rnacentral:tRNA from 1 species